AGUGAACGCUGGCGGCGGGCCUAACACAUGCAAGUCGAGCGGCAGCGGGUUCCCGCGAGGGGAUGCCGGCGAGCGGCGGACGGGUGAGGAACACAUCGGAAUCUGCCUGGUUGUGGGGGAUAACGUAGGGAAACUUACGCUAAUACCGCAUGAGACCCUGAGUCGACGGACUGGGGGUGAAAGUGAGGGACCUUCGGGCCUCACGCGACCAGAUGAGCCGAUGUCGGAUUAGCAGUUGGCGGGGUAACGGCCCGCCAAGGCGACGAUCCGUAGCUGGUCUGAGAGGAUGAUCAGCCACACUGGGACUGAGACACGGCCCAGACUCCUACGGGAGCAGCAGUGGGGAAUCUUGGACAAUGGGCGCAAGCCUGAUCCAGCCAUGCCGCGUGGGU
rnacentral:rRNA from 1 species